GACAGCAGUCGCCACGGUAAUACGUAGGUGGCAAGCGUUGUCCGGAAUUAUUGGGCGUAAAGGGCUCGCAGGCGGUUUCUUAAGUCUGAUGUGAAAGCCCCCGGCUCAACCGGGGAGGGUCAUUGGAAACUGGGAAACUUGAGUGCAGAAGAGGAGAGUGGAAUUCCACGUGUAGCGGUGAAAUGCGUAGAGAUGUGGAGGAACACCAGUGGCGAAGGCGACUCUCUGGUCUGUAGCUGACGCUGAGGAGCGAAAGCGUGGGGAGCGAACAGGAUUAGAUACCCGAGUAGUCCCUGUCUCUUAUAC
rnacentral:rRNA from 1 species